rnacentral:rRNA from 1 species
UACGUAGGGGGCAAGCGUUGUCCGGAUUUAUUGGGCGUAAAGAGCGUGUAGGCGGCCAGACAGGUCAGCUGUGAAAACUCGAGGCUCAACCUCGAGACGUCGGUUGAAACCGUCUGGCUAGAGUCCGGAAGAGGAGAGUGGAAUUCCCGGUGUAGCGGUGAAAUGCGCAGAUAUCAGGAAGAACACCCGUGGCGAAGGCGGUUCUCUGGGCAUGUCCUGACGCUGAGGAGCGAAAGUGUGGGGAGCGAACAGG